rnacentral:rRNA from 1 species
UACAGAGGGUGCAAGCGUUGUUCGGAAUUAUUGGGCGUAAAGGGCGCGUAGGCGGUCCCGAAAGUCGAAUGUGAAAGCCCAGGGCUCAACCUUGGAAGUGCAUCCGAAACUGCGGGACUAGAAUCUCGGAGAGGGUGGUGGAAUUCCCAGUGUAGAGGUGAAAUUCGUAGAUAUUGGGAGGAACACCGGUGGCGAAGGCGACCACCUGGACGAAGAUUGACGCUGAGGCGCGAAAGCGUGGGGAGCAAACAGG